CUCGCCAGCCGGGUCAUCCCAAGGCACGGCCCAUAUGCCAUGUUCAUGUCAAAUUGCCUCAGCACUUCUUCAUGUUUGUCAUAAUCAUCUUGAAGAUCCGGUGCGCCAUGAGAAAUGAGGGUCAUAGGCUGGGUGAUAUCAGAGCCGAUAGCAUGUUUGGGCAAUUUCUUCUUGGACUUAGAGGUUGAUUUAGAAGAGGACUUUGUAAUGCCACCUCUGUUGCUCUUCCUUUGCCGGUAGAAAUUCUUCAUGUCGCUGGAUGCUGUUUCCA
rnacentral:misc_RNA from 1 species